rnacentral:misc_RNA from 1 species
GAAAUGCGAUAAGUAAUGUGAAUUGCAGAAUUCCGUGAAUCAUCGAAUCUUUGAACGCACAUUGCGCCCUCUGGUAUUCCGGGGGGCAUGCCUGUCCGAGCGUCAUUGCGAACCCCUCAAGCACGGCUUGUGUGAUGGGCCCUCCCGCGUCUUGGUCGUCAAGACGGGCCCGAAAAGCAGUGGCGGCUUCGCGGUUAUCCGAUCAGCCAGAGCGUAUGGGGACUUUCUCUCUGUCACACGCCCGCGGCGCGGACCGACGCCUGUCGACCUUUAGUCAUCUUUUUCUCGGUUGACCUCGGAUCAGGUAGGGAUACCCGCUGAACUUAAGC